GUGGGGAAUAUUGGACAAUGGGCGAAAGCCUGAUCCAGCCAUGCCGCGUGAGUGAUGAAGGCCUUAGGGUUGUAAAGCUCUUUCAGUAGGGAAGAUAAUGACGGUACCUACAGAAGAAGCCCCGGCUAACUUCGUGCCAGCAGCCGCGGUAAUACGAAGGGGGCUAGCGUUGUUCGGAUUUACUGGGCGUAAAGCGCACGUAGGCGGAUUGGUCAGUUAGAGGUGAAAUCCUGGAGCUCAACUCCAGAACUGCCUUUAAUACUGCCAGUCUAGAGUCCAGAAGAGGUGAGUGGAACUCCUAGUGUAGAGGUGGAAUUCGUAGAUAUUAGGAAGAAAACCAGUGGCGAAGGCGGCUCACUGGUCUGGUACUGACGCUGAGGUGCGAAAGCGUGGGGAGCAAACAGGAUUAGAAACCCCUGUAGUCC
rnacentral:rRNA from 1 species